rnacentral:antisense_RNA from 1 species
UGUGGGAGCUGGCUUGCCUGCGAUGCCGACACCUCGAUGCCUCAGGAAUACCGAGGUGAUGCUAUCGCAGGCAAGCCAGCUCCCACA